rnacentral:rRNA from 1 species
AACGAACGCUGGCGGCAUGCCUAACACAUGCAAGUCGAACGAGACCUUCGGGUCUAGUGGCGCACGGGUGCGUAACGCGUGGGAACCUGCCUUUAGGUUCGGAAUAACUCAGAGAAAUUUGAGCUAAUACCGGAUGAUGUCUUCGGACCAAAGAUUUAUCGCCUUUGGAUGGGCCCGCGUUGGAUUAGCUAGUUGGUGGGGUAAAGGCCUACCAAGGCGACGAUCCAUAGCUGGUCUGAGAGGAUGAUCAGCCACACUGGGACUGAGACACGGCCCAGACUCUUACGGGAGGCAGCAGUGGGGAAUAUUGGACAAUGGGCGAAAGCCUGAUCCAGCAAUGCCGCGUGAGUGAUGAAGGCCUUAGGGUUGUAAAGCUCUUUUACCCGAGAUGAUAAUGACAGUAUCGGGAGAAUAAGCUCCGGCUAACUCCGUG